rnacentral:lncRNA from 1 species
AUGGUUUCAACCAUACUCAGCGGGUUUCAAAGAGGAAAGAUGCACAUUUCCGUGAUUGAUGUGGGCAAGGAGCUGACUGCAUGUGCCAUUGGCACACAUUUUGGUUGUCCCUUGUGUCCUAAAGUAAAGCCAACAUCUCUGAAGAAGAUAAAGUUGCACUUUGAAGGGCAUAUAAACACUGCAUUGCAUUUUGGAGAAAACAUUAUUUGCAGAUGCAAUAUGCCCUGCAGAAGUUUGGCUCAUUCCCAUUGUCCAUAUUGUUGUAAAACAUUACUGAAAAAGGAGCAAAUGGAAAGCCACAUGAAGCUUUGCAACACUACAACAACUUUAAAUGAAGUGACCCCAAAAUGGAACCCGGUGCUGUCUGUGUCCACCCCAGAGAGGCCAUCAUUACACGACAAUGACUACACAUUGCUAGAUUUGACACUUAGUGACUCGACUGAGUUUAUGGCAAACAGUGAUUGUGCACCAUCACCUCCACAACUUGUGUUCACCGCAGAGAGAUCAACAUCACUUCCUGAGUUCACCACAGAGAGGCUACUGCUCCGUGACCAUGACUACUGUUUGCUAGGUUUAAAAUCUAGUGACUCUACUGAGGUUGUGGCAAAUAGUGAUUGUGCACCAUCAUCUCCACAACUUGUUUUCAGCCCAAAGAAAUCAGCAUCACUUCCUGAGUUCACCCCAGAGAGCAGUGUUAAUUUUGUUGACAAAAUAUUUUUGUCUUUUUUUUUUUCAUCAGGAAAAUAUAUUUACAGACAAAAAUGAAACAAAAUUUCAAAAUAAAAGCCUGGAAAAAGACGAAGACGAUAAUUAAAUUGAUUGAAACUUUUAGUCAACGAAUGAAAGACGAGACGAAAAUCUACGAUGACGCUCUUCUACAUGGCGCUCUAUGGUGCGGUGCGCCUAUUGUGUUGUUGUGAGACGCGAAUGUAGUUGAAGACAAGGGGCGUGGCGUGCCGUGAACGUGCGGGACGUGAACGAAGACAGACCCCGAAUAGUAUAAAGGGGCAGGUAUGCGCGGUAUGUUAAACAUAGCUCACUGAAUAUAUCGAGGGCAUAAGAAGAAGGAGUAGAGGAAAAUGUUAACUGCUGGAUGAAAAAGAAGAGAAGAUGUGUGGAGUCAUUUUUCUUAUGCAUUGCUACCAAAACUACAUGCCGAGAGUGUGGACUGUCGUUCCGAGGAAAGAACACAACGAACCUGAAGAGGCAUCUACAGAAUGGCCACUUCGCCAUUUUCUCCGAGGUAAAUCCACUUAAAUGUUGUACACGUGACGACCCGAAAAGUAAUAUACAGGCAAAUAAAACUGUAUUGACUCUGUCAUGUUGGGAUAAAAAUUCGGAAGUACCGUAUUUUCACGACUAUAACGUGUGUUAUUAGGGAAAUAGCGGGCGAGCAGUGUUGAUGCAUGAUUGCGCAUGUGCCGUGAGCGGUUCUGGUACUUUUUGGGUCACAGCCGCUCGCUGCACGCACGCUCUAAACCAGGACUAGACCAGUAAAGUGAAGCAUGCUUUUGGUUGUUUAUAAUUUUCACAAUGUCUGGUUUCUGCUUUCUCAAUCCUACUGUGUGUCAGACCCUCCUCAAUGUGGCUGAUGAUAACAUUCAGGAGCUGCUCAAGCAGGCAGAAGAACCACUCUGAUCUGGAGGAACUGAAUGGACCUGAACCGGCACCACCCGCCGCCGCCUCCUCUUCAUCAUCUGACAACCAGUCUUUAGGUUUCUCUCCAAAUUCAGAGCAAAGCCUAAACCAAAGUCUUCCAAGUGUAGAGUUGGGACAGCAGAUAAGCCAGUAUAAGGAAGAGCUCUCACAGUCCAUCCCUUGUGAAACGGGAAUGGAGUUUUGGCUUGGAAAAUGUGACACAUUUUAUCACAGCCUGAAACCAUUAGCAUUAGACAUAUUGGCAAUGCCAGCUUCUCAAUCUUUUGCAGAAAGAGUGUUCAGUAUCACAGGUGACCUCACUAGAGGGAAACAUAACCGAGCAAAGGUCACACUAGCACGAAGUGCUUUUCUCAAAAUGAAUCGCACCAAAUAAAUAUUCACACUGUUUGGUUGAGCCUGUGUUGUAACAAGUGAAUAUCUACAGACUCAGGGUUAACAUGUUUAAAUUUGCAGUUCUUGUAAAUUCUUGUUGUGCAAUUGCUAAAAAGAGCACCUUUGUAAUUUCCAGUGUGCUUUUUGUUUUUAUUAAACACGUGUUUUUUUUUAUUCAAAUAUUCUAUGUUCUUAGCUGUGUGUGCUAUAUCUGAUCAGUGGUGCUUAAGAGUUUGGACCCUGUGUAUUAAAUUACACUAGUUUUUCCGUGCUCUAUACAAAAGUAGGAAAUUACUUCAUUAGAAAAAAAACAUAUGCAUUUUUAUCGACUAAAAUUACUUGUUAUUUUCAUCGACUAAAAUGGGACUAAAACUAAAAUAAAUCUAAUGACUAAAAUUGGACUAAGACUAAAAUAAAUUUUUAGCCAAAAGACUAAAAUAAAAUUAAAAUUUCCUGUCAAAAUUAACACUGCCAGAGAGGCCACCACCGCUGCCUGAGUCCACCCCAGAGACGCCACCACUGAACGACCAUGACUACUGUUUGUUAGCUUUAACAUCUAGUGACUCGACUGAGGUUGCGGAAAACAGUGAUUGUGCACCAUCAUCUCUACAACUUUUGUUCACCCCAGAGAAAUAAACAUCAUUGCCUGAGUCCACCCCAGAGAGACCACCAUUACACAGAUCCAAAAUAUUUUCUUCAGCCAAAGCUUCACGUGUUAAAAAUUUAAAGAUGACUAAGUGCCCACACUGUGCAAUUGUUCUCUACCAAAAAAUCUAACUUUACAUAUACAAAGAAAACAUACAUAUAAAAAAGACAUUACUGAGUCAUUCCAUUUAAGAAAUGUAUGUGUGGAUCCAGUGAAUGGAAUAUUUGCUGUCCGCAAAGUCUACUCACAUGGUUUCUCUACUCCAGUACACGUACAGCGUAAAACCUGGAGCAAUCAACAGCAAACAAAGUGUGAACUUGAGGAGUGUAAACAGUUCCACUUGCUUCCCCAGCGCAGUGGUCUUACACAUUGUCUGUGCGAACAUAUCAGGUCAUUGGAUUAUAGUGGCAAGACUGCAAAGGAGGAGAUCCUUAAAAUGGAAGUCCUUGAGGAGAUUAUGUCUGCACAUUUCUUUGGUGCUGCCAUGGUGGAGAACUGCAAAAGCCGGCAAAAAGUGGCACAGGGAGCAUGUGUGCCACUUUCAGUAUUGGUGGAACUGGGAGGGUCUCAAAGACACAUCUGCAUGUCAGUUCACGAACCAAAAAUGCAUUACUACAGUUUACUUGGCAGAGUAAUUGUCACAUAUAACACUGAAACACCAGCAGACUGAGAGACAGCUUUUUCCAUCAGGCCAUCAGACUGCUGAACACAUCGCAGACACCUCACCCUCACUACUGAAACUCCAACAUUACACGCUCCAUACUGUACAUUAAUGCCACUGUUUUGCACAUACCAGCCUCUGUAUAUUUUAUAUCUCUUAUCUUAUUGUUUAGUUUAUUCAUUUGUAUAUUUAGAUUAGCCAUUUUUAUAUUUUACAUGUUUUUACAUUACUGUAUUUUUGCACAACUCUGUUGCUGUGAAGCUCGCACACAAGAAUUUCACUCGCAUGUACUGUACCAGUGUACCUGCACAUGUGACGUGACAAUAAAAGUGAUUUGAUUUGAAAACAACACCUGGCACUGCCCUUGUUCUAAACCUCGUACAUCAUGUCCACACAAGGGUAUAGCUAAAUGGCAUCUUUUCCAGACAAGAAAACAUCUCUUCGUGACUUCUACAUCCACAAGGGAAACUUCGGAGAUGUCAAUCAUUCCAGAUUGUUCCUCCACUGAAGAUCUUGAAAGAAGUGUGAGGUAUAUUUACGAGAAGAAGAAGAUCCCAGCAAAAAUAAUGGAUCAUACCAAAGUUGUAGAAGGUCCAAGUGAUUACCCAGAAAAGCUCUUUCCUGCUGAAACAUGUUGCCAGCUCUGUUCAAGUAGCCCUCCCCUGAGUGAUGUCUACCUGGUAAUGGAAAAAGCCACAAUUGUUUUACAUUAUCAGGGAUGUUGCACAGAACCUAAAUCCCGGGAAAUGGACAGAGAAAACUGGCAAAGAUAUCAAGGUAAUAAAAUCAGUGUACCAUUUAUUAUGAUGGCACGAUAAACUCGCACAAUAACUAUUUAAUUUGCAUCCAUUCGAAUAUAAGGAUCUUCCUAGACAAGACUUUGGCAAUGACCAGAGGCGGUUUUACCAUUAGGCAUAGGUAGGCAGCCGCCUGGGGCCCCCUUGUGUUGGGGGGGCCCCUAGCCCUGACCGCCGGCACCCCUCUGUUAAUGCCACAAUAUUCUUAUAACCAACCUGUGGCCGCAGACGGGAUUGGACAUGUGCAAUUCUCAUUACCAUAAUUCCUGAACCAUUCAAGAUAUCAUUAAAAUUCCAAAAGUGCUGAAAAGAUUAAAAAUGGGGCUUUUCGUGCAUAUACAAUACAUUACGGUAGCCACCGGGAUUCCCUGUCUUGAGCGCAACGAAUCACAACACAGAUUCAGAGACUUUGUCAUCCAAAAUAGUCCGUUUUAUAACUUUUGAAUGGCUGAUCAGAUUCAAAUAAUUCCAACGGUUCCUAAAAGCACAUAAAAGCAGCUUUCCAACGAUCUAUAGCAUGAAGCAAUCAGAGUUAUGGAAAAUAUCGCUACGAGGGGAAAUCCUGCUGUACAGCCUGAUUGAAACGGAGCGCAGCGCCGCGGUGAAAGCGGAUAACGGAACGGGGAAGCUAAUUAGCAUAAAAACCAGCAUGAAAUUAUGGAAAUGCCUCAAAGAAAAUCAACACGAUCUAUUAGGUGUCCCAGAAGGCUUAUAUCUGAAG